ACUCCUACGGGAGGCAGCAGUAGGGAAUUUUUCCCAAUGGAAGAAAGUUUGACGGAGCAACGCCGCGUUAGUGAUGAAGGUUUUUGGAUUGUAAAACUUUGUUGUUAGGGAAGAACAAGUACCGUUUGAAUAGGGCGGCACCUUGACGGUACCUAACCAGAAAGCCACGGCUAACUACGGGCCAGCAGCCGCGGUAAUACGUAGGUGGCAAGCGUUGUCCCGAAUUAUUGGGCGUAAAGCGCGCGCCGGCGGUUUCUUAAAUUUGAUGUGAAAGCCCCCGGCUCAACCGGGGAGGGUCAUUGGAAACUGGGGAACUUGAGUGCAGAAGAGGAGAGUGGAAUUCCACGUGUAGCGGUGAAAUGCGUAGAGAUGUGGAGGAACACCAGUGGCGAAGGCGACUCUCUGGUCUGUAACUGACGCUGAGGCGCGAAAGCGUGGGGAGCGAACAGGAUUAGAUACCCUGGUAGUCCACGCCGUAAACGAUGAGUGCUAAGUGUUAGAGGGUUUCCGCCCCUUAGUGCUGCAGCAAACGCAUUAAGCACUCCGCCUGGGGGAGUACGGUCGCAAGACUGAAACUCAAAGGAAUUGACGGGGGCCCGCACAAGCGGUGGAGCAUGUGGUUUAAUUCGAAGCAACGCGAAGAACCUUACCAGGUCUUGACAUCCUCUGACAACCCUAGAGAUAGGGCUUCCCCUUCGGGGGCAGAGUGACAGGUGGUGCAUGGUUGUCGUCAGCUCGUGUCGUGAGAUGUUGGGUUAAGUCCCGCAACGAGCGCAACCCUUGAUCUUAGUUGCCAGCAUUCAGUUGGGCACUCUAAGGUGACUGCCGGUGACAAACCGGAGGAAGGUGGGGAUGACGUCAAAUCAUCAUGCCCCUUAUGACCUGGGCUACACACGUGCUACAAUGGGCAGAACAAAGGGCAGCGAAGCC
rnacentral:rRNA from 1 species